GAUAAACGCUGGCGGCGCACAUAAGACAUGCAAGUCGAACGGACGUUAACUCGAAGUUUGCUUUGAGAGCGGUUAGUGGCGGACUGGUGAGUAACGCGUGAGCAACCUGCCUACUAGAGGGGAAUAACAGUGAGAAAUCACUGCUAAUACCGCAUAUGCUUACACUAUCACAUGAUAGAGUGAGGAAAGGAGUAAUCCAACUAGUAGAUGGGCUCGCGUCUGAUUAGCUAGUUGGCAGGGUGAUAGCCUACCAAGGCGACGAUCGGUAGCCGACCUGAGAGGGUGAUCGGCCACAUUGGAACUGAGAUACGGUCCAA
rnacentral:rRNA from 1 species